AAAAAAGCUUUUCUUAAAGCUAUAAAUGUAAACUCUGAAAAUGUC
rfam:Agrilus planipennis Contig60334, whole genome shotgun sequence.